AUGGAAACCGGAUUGGUUGCAAUGUGGCACAGAACUGGAACCUUCCUGAGAGAGGUUGGGGCAGGCAGUGACUGUUCGGACGUCCAGAUUCUUUGGGACACCUCUUCAGCGCUGUCUCCCCUGCCUUUAGGACGAGUCUCAAACACCAGCAAACUCAAGGCACGUCCCCCAUCUCAGGUCUGCUGCGAAGGGACAGGAGGAAGACAGAGCCUUCCCCUCCUUCUACUUCAGUUUUUGUUUGUUUUUGAAAUAUUUUGUUUCAAAUAUUAAUGGACGAUAAGACAAUACGGAUAUGUCCCCUCCUCGCGAAGGGCAAGCAACCGCCCACCAACCCCUGUCAAGCGUGCCUUGCACUCCUGGGGACAAGCGGACGUGGCAGGAGUUGAGAUGCCCAAGAUGGAGCUAGGAAGGAUGAUCCGCGGUGGAAGGCGAGGGCCAAGGCUCGAGCUCUCAGCGCUCGCCAGCGUCGGACCAAGUAGCUUCGAAACUUGCCUUUCUCUCUUGCGAGGCGUCGGGGCCCAGUCGGUGGGCCGGUGGUGA